ACUCCUACGGGAGGCAGCAGUGGGGAAUCUUGGACAAUGGGGCAACCCUGAUCCAGCCAUGCCGCGUGAGUGAUGAAGGCCCUAGGGUCGUAAAGCUCUUUCGCCUGUGAAGAUAAUGACUGUAGCAGGUAAAGAAACCCGCGAAUCCGUGCCAGCAGCCGCGGUAAUACGGAGGGGUUAGCGUUGUUCGGAAUUACUGGGCGUAAAGCGCGCGUAGGCGGACUGG
rnacentral:rRNA from 1 species